ACUCCACCUUCUAAAGAGACAAAAGGAUGGUCCUACCCCUGAAGGAGACCGAGAGAUGGGCUGGGGGAAACAACAUGAUUCCUUGUGAAAAAAAGACGGAAGACUGAGAGAAGACUGUGGUAGAGUAGAAAGCACAGUGAACGGGAAAGGCACGUAAGCUUUCUGGGUCUCAGUGUCUACAUCCACAAAAUGGGAAAGGAGGUGGACUUCCGCUCUCUAAAGUCGCUUCUAAUUCGGAAUCUCUAUAAACUUACGUUCUCAAAGAACUAUAAAGCAAGACUCUGACAUCUUUCAGGCAAUCAGGAGUCACAUCGCCUUAUACCUCUAAAGCAUAUAAAGAAGAGCAGAGUGGCAGAGCUGUCUUAUAUGGCACCACAUACCACAAGGUGUGGCAAACAAUAAUCAAUGGAAACUUAUGCUGGGAAGGCUUCAUGGAAAAGAGGGUAUGAAGAUGGACUUUGAAGUAUGGAAAUAAGAUUUCAAUAGGUGAAGGUACUGGAAAUUUUCCUCCAGAGUUAGGAAAAGUAUAAUAUAUAUUUGGAAAGUGGUAUGUAUAAUGGGUAUCCCAUUGCUUGUCUUCUCAAUGAAUGGUGGAGGGGUUGGAGAAGGGGGUAGAAUUGGGAACUCAAAAUUGUAAAAAUGAAUGUUUUUAUAAUUAAAUAAAAUUUUAAAAAGAAAA